AAGCCAGACUCCUACGGGAGGCAGCAGUGGGGGAUAUUGCACAAUGGGGGAAACCCUGAUGCAGCGACGCCGCGUGGGUGAAGAAGCGCCUCGGCGCGUAAAGCCCUGUCAGCAGGGAAGAAAAUGACGGUACCUGAAGAAGAAGCCCCGGCUAACUACGUGCCAGCAGCCGCGGUAAUACGUAGGGGGCAAGCGUUAUCCGGAUUUACUGGGUGUAAAGGGGGCGCAGACGGCAGCGCAAGCCAGGAGUGAAAGCCCGGGGCCCAACCCCGGGACUGCUCUUGGAACUGCGCGGCUGGAGUGCAGGAGGGGCAGGCGGAAUUCCUGGUGUAGCGGUGAAAUGCGUAGAUAUCAGGAGGAACACCGGUGGCGAAGGCGGCCUGCUGGACUGCGACUGACGUUGAGGCCCGAAAGCGUGGGGAGCAAACAGGAUUAGAUACCCCGGUAAA
rnacentral:rRNA from 1 species